AAGGAGUCUAACAUAUAUGCGAGCGUGCGAGUGGAGAACCUCAUACGCGGAAUGAAAGUAAAAGGUGCGCAGCGCAAGCCACAGCAUCGACAGACCUAGUAAAAAAGGUUUGAGUGAGAGCAUAUCUGUUGGGACCCGAAAGAUGGUGAACUAUGCCUGAGUAGGGUGAAGUCAGAGGAAACCCUGAUGGAGGCUCGUAGCGGUGUUGACGUGCAAAUCACUCGUCAAACUUGGGUAUAGGGGCGAAAGACUAAUCGAACCAUCUAGUAGCUGGUUCCCUC
rnacentral:misc_RNA from 1 species